GAUGAACGCUGGCGGCGUGCUUAACACAUGCAAGUCGAACGAUGAAGCCCAGCUUGCUGGGUGGAUUAGUGGCGAACGGGUGAGUAACACGUGAGUAACCUGCCCUUGACUCUGGGAUAAGCCUGGGAAACUGGGUCUAAUACUGGAUAUGACUUCUCAUCGCAUGGUGGGGGGUGGAAAGAUUUAUUGGUCUUGGAUGGACUCGCGGCCUAUCAGCUUGUUGGUGAGGUAAUGGCUCACCAAGGCGACGACGGGUAGCCGGCCUGAGAGGGUGACCGGCCACACUGGGACUGAGACACGGCCCAGACUCCUACGGGAGGCAGCAGUGGGGAAUAUUGCACAAUGGGCGCAAGCCUGAUGCAGCGACGCCGCGUGAGGGAUGACGGCCUUCGGGUUGUAAACCUCUAUCAGUAGGGAAGAAGCGAGAGUGACGGUACCUGCAGAAGAAGCGCCGGCUAACUACGUG
rnacentral:rRNA from 1 species